rnacentral:rRNA from 1 species
AAAAGACUUUUGGGAACGAAUAUCUUUGAUCAAGCAUAGGGGAAGAAGGAAUCAAAAAUUCAUACCAGGUGUGACAUGCAGAAUCCUUUGUACCAUAGAGUUGAGGAAAGCAAUUUGUGCCCAAAACCAUCUGGUGGAGGGCAGAUGCCCCUGGGCGUCAG